UAAAGCCAGUUUGCAUUAUAAGCUCCAUAACCUGCUGCCGAACCGCUGCUGCCUGUUGGACACUUGGGCUGCUGUCACUUUGGCACUGCAUUCCUCUGAUAUUGCAUAGUUUAUGUCAGGGUGACAUUAUUCCUCUUCUAGACGGUGGAUAACAAAUGUAAAGUCCAGAUCAAGUGCUACAAUUGUUUAUGAGAAGGUUGCUAUAACUAGUUCUUGUGAUCUAUAAUUAAUCACAGCCAUUCCUCUUUAGUCCAAUGGGCGAAACAAGUAAUGCCACUGUAAUUGCUACACAUUAUGUGAGAGGGUAAAAAAUGUGGUUGUGAUUGGAUAAGUAUGGUGGACCAGCGGAGUAAUUUUCGUGCCCUUACUGUGUACAAUUAAGAGGGAGAAACAGGUCACACAAUAAAUGAUCAAAUAGCACCUGUUUGGUGUGAUAUGAGCUAAAACAACAAAAUUUUAAAAACAGUGGUCAUGGUCAUACAUUCAACUUCUGCACUUUUUCAUUAAUUGAUGAUAUACCAGAAUCAUGCAAUAAUUGUCACCGAGAUAAGAAUUGAGUUAGAAGGAAUUUGGAGCUAUGAAUUGUUUCAGUACAUUUCGCAAUCUGGUACUGGAACAGAAGCUGCUUGGUUGGUGCUGUGAAGGUAUGUUCCUCGUUGCAAGGAAACCUGACAGAUGAUUAAUCCUGGUAUGUAGGAAAGCAUAUACAGUGGAAUAGUUUUUGAGGUUUGAAGUUUUGCAUCUUUUCAAACAACAUUCUUAAACAUCACUGUAAGCAAUAAUAAUAGCAGAACUAGAUAAGAACCAUUCCUAACCGUAAGUGGCACUGACACAUACCCCCUCCAUGCCAAAUAAUUGAAGUUCUAGGUUUGUGAUAGUUUGACUUGGGACAAACCUAGAACUUCAAUUAUUUUGGUACGGAGCGAGUUACUUAUUUCUUUAUCCUCUGAUCUAUGUAGUGAACUCACAUGAACAAGGGUUUCUACAGUGUAGUGGUUUGAUUGCCAGUUCCUGUGCAGCAGCUCUCCAUGCACCUUUCAGCAUAACAGUAUAACACAUAAAUACAUACUUUGCUUAGUUUUAUGUUCUGAUACGUACUUGCAUAAGUUGCUGUAAGCCUGUUACAGUAUGGUUUCUUUCAGCCUUCCUGAGUAAUAUUUCCCCUGUUGGCAAAUUUAACUGCGUGUACUUCAUAAUGACCUCUUUGUUAGGUUCAUGGGCCUGGAGCAGACAUUGAUAUCGUAUGUGUUGGACCUUCAUAUGUGAAGCGAGAGGAUGAUUUCUUUGUGGCACUACAUGACAUAUUGGCACAAAUGGAAGAAGUGACGGAACUGCAACCUGUACCUGAUGCCCAUGUACCUGUUAUGAAAUUUAAGUUCCAUGGAAUGGCAAUUGACCUUCUCUAUGCCAGUGUAUCGCUUUCAGUAAUACCACCAGAUUUCAACAUCUCUGAAGGAUCUGUGCUUAGUGGUCUUGAUGAAGCAACUGUCCGAAGUCUUAAUGGGUGCAGGGUGGCAGACCGGAUUCUUCGACUUGUUCCUAAUGUUGAGAACUUUCGGACAACACUCAGGUGUUUGAAGUACUGGGCAGAGAGAAGGGGCGUUUAUUCCAAUGUUACUGGUUUCCUUGGCGGUGUCAACUGGGCCAUAUUGGUUGCUCGUAUCUGCCAACUCUAUCCUAAUGCUGUACCAAGUAUGCUGGUUUCAAGAUUCUUCAGGGUUUUUACACAGUGGCAGUGGCCGAAUCCAGUGAUGCUUUGUGCCAUUGAGAAUGACGACCUUCGUUUUUCUGUCUGGGAUCCACGUAAAAAUCCUCGUGAUAGAUCUCAUGUUAUGCCCAUCAUUACUCCAGGCUAUCCUUGCAUGAACUCUAGCUACAAUGUUUCUAGCAGCACAUUGAGGGUUAUCAUGGAGCAAUUUAAGCUCGGUAAUAAAAUUUGUCAGGAAAUUGACCUUAAUAAGGCCAGUUGGGCUGUUUUGUUUGAGCCUUUAAAUUUUUUUGAGGCAUAUACGAAAUAUUUAGUGGUUGACAUUGUUGCGGACGAUGAUGAUGAUCUUCGGCUUUGGAAGGGAUGGGUUGAGUCUCGACUGAGACAGCUGACACUGAAGAUAGAGCGGGAUACUAAAGGAAUGCUGCAAUGUCAUCCUUACCCAUGUGAGUAUGCAAAUCCUUCAGUACAGUGUGCUCAUUGUUCCUUCUACAUGGGCUUAUCAAGGAAAGAAGGUAUGAAAGUACAUGGGCAAAAAUUUGAUAUCCGUGCAACGGUAGAUGAGUUUAUGCAUGAAAUUGGAAUGUAUCCAUUGUGGAAAUCUGGAAUGGAUCUUGCAGUCACCCAUGUCCAUAAGAAGCAGAUCCCGCAUUAUGUGUUUGAACAGGGUUACAAGAAACCUUGUCCGCAGUUGCAUGCAAACCAGCAGGAGCAGUCUGAUAGAAAUGACACUGAAGAUGGCACACCAACAGCAUCUCUGGAUGGCCAACUUAAGAGAAAGUGUGAUUUUGAUGGAGCUGGUCAGGUCGAAUCAGGUAAAUCUGUUAAAAGGUCUUCAGUAAGCUCAGGCUGCGAGGAAAGUCCACCUGACUCUGGAAACAUUGUUAGUCAAAGUGUAUGUGAGAACCCAGUCAAAUCAGUUUCCAGUGUUCUCUGUAAUGGAGUUCAGAAUAGUCCGUUGCAUGGUGAUGUAAAUCUGGAAUCAGCAAACUGUUCCAAUUCACCCCAUGGAUCUGAGGUGUCCGCAGCAUCAGGCACGAGCUGUGCAGCCAUGGAAACAGUCGACAUGAUUGAUGAAAUUGCCGGUCCUGAAAGCUCAGUGCCAUGUGUUAUGAGUGGUGCAGUUCAGGCUAUGGCAGUGCACACACCUAUAAAAUGUGUGGCUGAGAAAGAUGAACCUAAGUUCGAGGGAAUUGAUAGAUUGGUAAGCAGUAACUGUGCGGAGUCUCUGGAGGAGGCAGAAACACUCGCUGGGAAUUUACUUAGUGAGAAUAUGCACCCAAGUGGGAAUGGAGUGAUUUGAAGUGGCCUUCCAUAUAGAGAUCAUGCAGGUGCCAAAUUCGGUGUGUCCAGCAGAAAGCUUCGAUGAGUUCUCAUCUGUCCUGAACUGUGCGAGGAGAGGAUAACCAAAGGAAAUGAUGACUGCUGACUACUGAAUGGAAUCAGAGGUUUCAUCGCUGUGGUUGGUAAGUUUAUUUACUCACAAAGAUUCCUUCCGAGUUCUGACACAGAUUUUGUCAGAAGGGAGUCUUGAAUGAAGCUGGUGCCGGUGCCGGGGCUGGAAUGCUCAACCAGCCUUGGAGAAAAUGUACAACAAUUUGUCCCAGAUGCUUCUGACCAGGACAAGAUGUUGUCCGGAACUCCAAACCAUGUACCGAUUGCAUUACUUGAUCUUAGUAUACAAAGUUGUCACCAUGUAAGCUGUACAGAGAUGUACCAGUUACAUAGGUUUAGGUCAGACUUAGGUAGCUUACAAUCAGUUUUGGUCAUUGAGAAUGUACACACAAAUUACACCUAUGUCAAUUUUGAAAUUCUGGAAGCUUUGUCUACUCA